GACGAACGCUGGCGGCGUGCUUAACACAUGCAAGUCGAACGGAAAGGCCCUGCUUUUGUGGGGUGCUCGAGUGGCGAACGGGUGAGUAACACGUGAGUAACCUGCCCUUGACUUUGGGAUAACUUCAGGAAACUGGGGCUACUACCGGAUAGGAGCUCCUGCUGCAUGGUGGGGGUUGGAACGUUUCGGCGUUUGGGGAUGGACUCGCGGCUUAUCAGCUUGUUGGUGGGGUAGUGGCUUACCAAGGCUUUGACGGGUAGCCGGCCUGAGAGGGUGACCGGCCACAUGGGGACUGAGAUACGGCCCAGACUCCUACGGGAGGCAGCAGUGGGGAAUAUUGCACAAUGGGCGGAAGCCUGAUGCAGCAACGCCGCGUGCGGGAUGACGGCCUUCGGGUUGUAAACCGCUUUCGCCUGUGACGAAGCGUGAGUGACGGUAAUGGGUAAAGAAGCACCGGCUAACUACGUG
rnacentral:rRNA from 1 species